rnacentral:lncRNA from 1 species
GUGUUUAUAAUUAAUGUGCUAAAGUAUUAUUCUAUUCGUUGCAUUAUUUUUGAACUAGUUGAGAACGUGGAAAACGCUGCCUUUGGGGGCAAUCAAAUACAUGUAAACUUGAGAAUGAAAAUGAGGAAUGUGUCAAAGAGAGACAACUACCCGACCAUAGAACAGACAACAGCAGAAUGUCACCAACAGGUCUUCAAUGCAGCGAGAAAUUGCCACACCC